UACGUGAGGGGCGAACGUUGUUCGGUGUCACUGGGCUUAAAGGGUGCGUAGGUGGUUGCAUAAGUAAGGUGUGAAAUCCCUCGGCUUACCCGGGGAAUUGCAUUUUAUACUGCGUGGCUUGAGGACUAAAGGGGAAAAGGGAACUCCAGGUGUAGCGGUGAAAUGCGCAGAUAUCUGGGGGAAGGCCGGCGGCGAAGGCGCUUUUCUGGUUAGUACCUGACACUGAGGCACGAAAAGCGUGGGGGAGCAAACAGG
rnacentral:rRNA from 1 species